rnacentral:lncRNA from 13 species
GAAAUUAGAUUCAGUGCCUAUAUUUCUUAUUUUAAAAUAUAAUUGUGGUCUUCUUAUCCCCCUAAACAGGUGGGGAGGAGUCCCAGGAUGUUGGUGAGAAAUGUUUAGAUAAUAUGAUGCUGCACAAACAUUUACUAAUUAUGAUGUAAAUGAAAAAUAGGUAUGUUUUUUCAUUCUUACAUUUGCAAUACUGGGCAAAUGUAAAUAAAAAAAUAUAUAGAUAUUUUUAGCAUCUUGAAUUUAAAAAAAAGGAUAUUUAAAUACAUUGCUUUAAUAAGAAAAUAAGAUAUUUAAUCUUCUAAUCUCCUACACAUGUGAUACAACAUACCAACAUUUGGGUGAGAAAUGCUAGAUAAUUAAGUUUUAAAAAAUUAUGAUAAUAACGAUUAUUACAAUUUUGAAUAGGUAUGUUUUUCUGAUACUGGGUAAAUGGUCAUGACUGAAAUAAUAUGCCACAUCUUGAGUGAAAAUAAUUAACAUCUUAAUAUCUUCUAAUCAGGUGAUGAGAUUGAUACAAACCAUGACAUGGGUGAGAAAUGCUUAGAUAUUAUGAAGCUCCAUAGAAAUGCAAUGAUUAUAUUGUGACAUUUACAGUACUGGGUAAAUGGUGAUCUAACAGACUGCAGGGCCUUGGCCAAUUUUUUUUGCAAAAUAACAUGUUUUAAUUAUAUAUAUUUAACUUCCAUCUUCUUAUCUCUGAAACAGUGGAUGCCACGUACCAAGAAAUUCUGGUGAGUUGUGAGUUCCAAAUGAGCUUUGACUAAUGAUAACUAAUGAUUAUGUUGACUCUUAGUUAUAUAGGCUUACAGGUCUAGACUCAAUUUCUUCCUCUUGUACUUUUCGCGCCUAUUGUAAUUUUAUAUUUCAGGUUGAAACACGGAAAAUUAAACACGUUAUAGCACGUAUUCGAGAUGCAGCAAAUCAAGGCCCAUAUACAGAAGUUGUGUAUGCCAAGUCAUGCAAGAAGAAAAGACAUCAUCAAUACAUGCCUUAAUCCUCAUUAGAUCGGCA